ensembl:lncRNA
AUGUGCCCUAAGGUCUACAAUGAAGUGAGUCAGGAGGGUGGGGCUGAAUUAAGAAAUCAUUUUAUCUGUUCGCUGAGGAAAACUUCUGUUGAAAAGACACCAUUUCACAUUGUUAUACGAACAGCGUGUAGUGAUACCAUAUCUGACGAGACCAUGAGCCCAGUGAUGGAGUCUGUCAAGGGCUUUGUGCUUGGAGCCGUGGCUGGAGGUACUCUGGGAGCCACGGAGGUACCGCUGAAUCGAAUAAUGUCAGAGAUCAUCUCAGGAGCCCAACUGAAAGCUGUUAUGUCUGGCAUUAAGAGCAUUGGGGCACUUGGACUGGGUGCACUUCUAGGAACUACUGCACUCAUCACAUCUAUGGCAUUGAUGGUGACGGGGGUCACCGUAGCCGCUUCUGUGGCCUUGUGUCUAUUGAGAUUGAGGAAGAGUGAAGGAUGGGUAGCAGCAGGAUUGGCCGCGGCUCUCACCAUGACUUCAAGCGGUGCAGCACUAGGGGCCAUCAUCGAAAAUCUGAGCAAGAGCUACGGGAUGGUCAGCCUGCUCUGGGCUUUGGGUAUUUUUACAGUUUUGAAACUAUUGAUGCACUUCUUUGUCAAGUAUUCAUGCACAGGACGGGAAUUCUGUGGAUCAGUAGCCGAUGCUACUAAGAGAGAACAAGCAAGACUACUUGCUUUGGAAAUAGAUCUAAGACGGCGGGCUGCAUUGGAAAUGGAAAAGCGGAUUAAGGCCUGCGAGAUGAAGAAACCAGAAGAGGAUGGUCUGGUUUCUCGGGAGGUCCAACAAAGAGAAAGAGAAGAAAUAAAGAGACAGCAAAGGAAGGCUGUUGAGUUGGAAAUGCAGCAGAGGACUUCUCGACAACGCCUGCUGAAAGCUGUGGCCACAUACAUGGAGUUUCUUGCAUUUUCUGGCAUUCCAAUGACUGUGACUGCUUUUGUGACUGCUGGCUUUGGCAUCUUUGGCUUCGGAAAUUACAGAUUUGUUUUUGUUGUCCUGUUAGUCGUUGUGUUAUGCAUGUCGUUUUGGCUCAUGAGUUCUCGGCGUUUGAACUUUUGGAUGCUUAUGGGUUGCAUUGGAAUGUUUGCCACAUUUGCCAUUGCCGUGCUGACUGUUCAUGCCGGGCAGGAGGUGGCAGGCAUGUCUGUCAAAAUGCGCUUGGCAGGACAAAACAUGACCAAGGAGAAUAUCAGCAUCCGUAUGACUUAUGCAUCCUCCGUACAGGCGAUAUCUGCAGGAUUCUUCGUGUCAGAAGUCUGUCAGGUUGGUUUAGGGGCCACAGUCGGUGGUCCAGUGGCACGAGAGGCAGGAGGAAAGGUGAUUUUGGGGGCGUCUGUAACCGCUGCGAUUGUUUUGUCGAUAGUUGAAGUGUCGUCGCAGAUGCUGGGAGUCGGUGGUAAGGCGGGGGCUUUGCUGGGGGCGGCUGGAGCUGCUGGUGUGUCCAUGGGAGGUGCUGCAGCCGUAGCGGUGAAAUCGUCCUCAUGGGGAGGAACAACAGGAACUACUGCUGGGAUGAUCGUUGGCUUAUUGGUGUUUAGAGAGUGGGACAUUAUUAACAUAGGGCUUCACAUUUGUGUGGCAUACCUGUUUGCCAUGACAAAUCUUUACUGAAAUGCUAUGUAACUGCUCUUUUUAUUACUACAGUAAUAACUUGGUAAGAAUCGGCAUCAGUAAAAUUGAGCUUUUUUUUCUUCUUUUUCUUUCUUCUUUCUUGUUCUAUUCUCACUUUAUCACAGUUUUGUUCUCUAUGUUUGCUCUAAUAUAUAUAUAUAUAUAUAUAUAUAUAUAUAUAUACAUAUAUAUAUAUAUAUAUAUAUAUAUAUAUAUAUAUAUAUAUAUAUAUAUAUAUAUAUAUAUAUAUAUAUAUAUACAGUGGGGAUCGAAAGUUUGGGCACCCCUUGCAGAAUCUGUGAAAAUAUGAGUAAUUUUCAAAAAAUAAGAGAGAUCAUACUAAAUGCAUGUUAUUUUUUAUUUAGUACUGUCCUGAGUAAGAUAUUGUACAUAAAAGAUAUUAACAUUUAGUCCACAAGACAAAAGAAUUGCUGAAAUUAUUAAAAUAACCCCACUCAAAAGUUUGGGAACCCUUGGUUCUUAUUACUGUGUUCUGUUACCUGAUGAUCCUCGACUGUCUUUCUGUUUUGUGAUGGUUGUGCAUGAGUCCCUUGUUUGUUCUGAACAGUUAAACUGAGCAGCGUUCUUCAGAAAAAUCUUUAAGGUCCUGCAGAUUCUUCAGUUUUCCAGCAUCUUUGCAUAUUUGAACCCUUUCCAGCAGUGACUGUAUGAUUUUGAGAUACACCUUAUCACACUGAGGACAUUUGAGGGACUCAAACACAACUAUUUAAAAAGAUUCAAACAUUCACUGAUGCUCCAGAAGGAAACAAGAUGCAUUAAGAGCUUACUCCUGUCUUACUCAGGACAGUACUAAAUAAAAAAUAACAUGCAUUUAGUAUGUUCUCUCUUAUUUUUUGAAAAUGACUCAUGUUUUCACAGAUUCUGCAAGGGGUGCCCAAACUUUCGAUCCCCACUGUAUAUACAUACAUAUAUAUAUAUAUAUAUAUAUAUAUAUAUAUAUAUAUAUAUAUAUAUAUAUACACACACACACACACACACACACACACUGAAUAUAUGUUUUUGUUUAUUUUUCAUAUGUCAGGAUUCUUUUUUUUAAUAGGCAAAGAAAUACUUUAAUCCAUUUUUAAGUAGUGUAGAAAUAAGGGAAAGGUAACAACUUUAAUCAACAGGAUUCUGUAAAUUAAGAUAAUACAUAUGAACAAUAAGGCACUAUAGUGGCUCCUGUCAAAUAUUAAAAUGUAUUUGUCUGAAUCUAAAUUUUCCAGUGAGAAAAAUGGUCAGAACGAACAAUAUGCCGUUAUUUUGGUCAUUAUUGUAAAACAAACACUAGAUGUUGUGUAUGUGUCUGUGCAUAUUGACCUAAUUAUGUGCUACUUUCUUUCUACUUUAUAUUUUCUAAUUGCCUCUUACUUUUUAAAGGGCUGAUCCCAAUCAGGAGAUGCAGUGUUUGGUCAUUUUUACUUUUUAUUAAAAUAUUUUUAUUUAAUUUGGUCUGCUUUUGUUAUUUUGAUAUGCUGGUUGGUAAAAAACUAUAUCAUUGUUGUUGGCACAUGACCACACUCGUCACACAGGUAUAGAAUACCAUAUGUACAAGAAAUGGGAUACAAAAUCUUGUCUGCAUUUUCUGGAAAUUGUAUUUUAUUGAGUACUAGAGAUUUAACCUAGAAGCAAAAUUUAAAAUGAAUAAAUAAAAUAAAUGAAAAUAAAUGACACUAGUUAACACAUAUGACUUUUCUUUCCAAAUACUA